UACAGAGGGGGCAAGCGUUAUUCGGAAUUAUUGGGCGUAAAGGGCGCGUAGGCGGCCUGGCAAGUGGAAGGUGAAAUCCCUCGGCUUAACCGAGGAACUGCCCUCCAAACUGCUUGGCUUGAGUCCGGGAGAGGUGAGUGGAAUUCCUGGUGUAGCGGUGAAAUGCGCAGAUAUCAGGAAGAACACCCGUGGCGAAAGCGGCUCUCUGGAACGGUACUGACGCUGAGACGCGAAAAGCGUGGGGAGCGAACGGG
rnacentral:rRNA from 1 species